rnacentral:rRNA from 1 species
GAUGAACGCUGGCGGCGUGCCUAAUACAUGCAAGUCGAACGGGGUGCAGCAAUGUACCAAGUGGCGAUCGGGUGCGUAACACGUAGCUGACCUACCUCUUGGCGGGGGACAACAGGCCGAAAGGCUUGCUAAUACCGCAUGAUUUCGGGGGAACUAGAACGCCUCGAAGAAACGCUUCGGCGGCCGAGAGAGGGGGCUGCGGCCCAUCAGGUAGUUGGUGAGGUAACGGCUCACCAAGCCGACGACGGGUAGGGGGCCUGAGAGGGUGACCCCCCACACUGGGACUGACAGACGGCCCAGACUCCUACGGGUGGCAG